rnacentral:rRNA from 1 species
GAUGAACGCUGGCGGCGUGCCUAAUACAUGCAAGUCGAGCGAAUGGAUUAAGAGCUUGCUCUUAUGAAGUUAGCGGCGGACGGGUGAGUAACACGUGGGUAACCUGCCCAUAAGACUGGGAUAACUCCGGGAAACCGGGGCUAAUACCGGAUAACAUUUUGAACCGCAUGGUUCGAAAUUGAAUGGCGGCUUCGGCUGUCACUUAUGGAUGGACCCGCGCCGCAUUAGCUAGUUGGUGAGGUAACGGCUCACCAAGGCAACGAUGCGUAGCCGACCUGAGAGGGUGAUCGGCCACACUGGGACUGAGACACGGCCCAGACUCCUACGGGAGGCAGCAGUAGGGAAUCUUCCGCAAUGGACGAAAGUCUGACGGAGCAACGCCGCGUGAGUGAUGAAGGCUUUCGGGUCGUAAAACUCUAUUGUUAGGGAAGAACAAGUGCUAGUUGAAUAAGCUGGCACCUUGACGGUACCUAACCAGAAAGCCACGGCUAACUACGUGCCAGCCGCCGCAGUAA